UUGAACGCUGGCGGAAUGCUUUACACAUGCAAGUCGAACGGCAGCACGGGGGCAACCCUGGUGGCGAGUGGCGAACGGGUGAGUAAUACAUCGGAACGUGCCCAGUCGUGGGGGAUAACUACGCGAAAGCGUAGCUAAUACCGCAUACGAUCUACGGAUGAAAGCGGGGGAUCGCAAGACCUCGCGCGAUUGGAGCGGCCGAUGGCAGAUUAGGUAGUUGGUGGGGUAAAGGCUCACCAAGCCUUCGAUCUGUAGCUGGUCUGAGAGGACGACCAGCCACACUGGGACUGAGACACGGCCCAGACUCCUACGGGAGGCAGCAGUGGGGAAUUUUGGACAAUGGGCGAAAGCCUGAUCCAGCCAUUCCGCGUGCAGGAUGAAGGCCCUCGGGUUGUAAACUGCUUUUGUACGGAACGAAAAGCGCUGAGUUAAUACCUCGGCGUCAUGACGGUACCGUAAGAAUAAGCACCGGCUAACUACGU
rnacentral:rRNA from 1 species